AUUCUGUUUGAUCCUGGCAGAUGCUACUGCUAUUGGGAUUCGAUUAAGCCAUGCAAGUCGAACGAGUUUAGGCUCGUGGCGUACGGC
rnacentral:rRNA from 1 species